rnacentral:misc_RNA from 1 species
UCAAACUUGGUCAUUUAGAGGAAGUAAAAGUCGUAACAAGGUAACCGUAGGUGAACCUGCGGUUGGAUCAUUAAAAAAUCUUUCCAGGUGGAAGCGCGCCCAGCGCGCGGAAGCCACACCCACACCUUUGUGAACCACAAACGUAUUUUGGUGAGGCCUCUGCUUCGGGAGUUUUCUCUUGUGGCACUGGGAUGCAGCGCUGUCCAAGGAUGGCGCCGCUCCGUUCGCCUCACCGACCCACACCUGUUUACCUAUAUUUUUGUAUCAAUCAAGAGAAAUCAAUGAGAAACAACUUUAGACAACGGAUCUCUUGGCUCUCGCAUCGAUGAAGAACGCAGC